CCCGGGCCUUGUACACACCGCCCGUCACACCAUGGGAGUGGGUUGCAAAAGAAGUAGGUAGUUUAACCUUCGGGAGGGCGCUUACCACUUUGUGAUUCAUGACUGGGGUG
rnacentral:rRNA from 1 species